AGUGAACGCUGGCGGCAGGCCUAACACAUGCAAGUCGAACGGAAGGACAGUAAGAGUUUGCUUUUACGGGUGGCGGGUGGCGGACGGGUGAGGAAUACAUCGGAAUCUUCUUUUUCGUGGGGGAUAACGUAGGGACAGUUACGCUAAUACCGCAUAUGACCUACCGGUGAGAGCAGGGGAUCUUCGCACCUUGCGUGAUUGUAUGAGCCGAGGCCGGUUUAGCUGGUUGGCUGGGUAAAGGCCUACCAAGGCGACGAUACGUAGCUGGUCUGAGAGGAUGAUCGGCCACACUGGAACGGAGACACGGUCCAGACUCCUACGGGAGGCAGCAGUGGGGAAUAUUGGGCAAUGGGCGCAAGCCUGACCCAGCCAUACCGCGUGGGUGAAGAAGGCCUUCGGGUCGUAAAGCCCUGUUGUUGGGAAAGAAAAGCAGUAGAUUAAUACCCCGCUGUUCUGACGGUACCCAAAGAAUAAGCACCGGCUAACUUCGUG
rnacentral:rRNA from 1 species